rnacentral:rRNA from 1 species
UACCAGCACCCCGAGUGGUCGGGACGAUUAUUGGGCCUAAAGCAUCCGUAGCCGGUUCUACAAGUCCCCCGUUAAAUCCAGCUGCUCAACAGAUGGGCCGCGGAGGAUACUACAGAGCUAGGAGGCAGGAGAGGCAAGCGGUACUCAGUGGGUAGGGGUAAAAUCCGUUGAUCCAUUGAAGACCACCAGUGGCGAAGGCGGCUUGCCAGAAUGCGCUCGACGGUGAGGGAUGAAAGCUGGGGGAGCAAACCGG